CCUACGGGGGGCAGCAGUGGGGAAUAUUGGGCAAUGGGCGCAAGCCUGACCCAGCAACGUCGCGUGAAGGAAGAAGGCUCUCGGGUUGUAAACUUCUUUUUUCAGGGAAGAAGAACGUGACGGUACCUGAGGAAUAAGCCACGGCUAACUACGUGCCAGCAGCCGCGGUAAUACGUAGGUGGCAAGCGUUAUCCGGAUUUACUGGGUGUAAAGGGCGUGUAGGCGGGACUGCAAGUCAGAUGUGAAAAUCAUGGGCUCAACCUAUGGCCUGCAUUUGAAACUGUAGUUCUUGAGUACUGGAGAGGCAGACGGAAUUCGUGGUGUAGCGGUGAAAUGCGUAGAUAUUAGGAGGAACACCAGUGGCGAAGGCAGUCUGCUGGACAGCAACUGACGCUGAGGCGCGAAAGCGUGGGGAGCAAACAGGAUUAGAUACCCUGGUAGUC
rnacentral:rRNA from 1 species